rnacentral:rRNA from 1 species
GAAAAAACGCGGUAUGACAUCGUCGCGCCCCUCUCUAUUCAGGGUUCGCGGGGUAGAGGGGAGGAGAGCGAAAAGGUCAAAGGGCAGCGGAGGCGGUAGCGGAGGAGGGGAGAGGGGAGAGAGAGAGGGCAGAGGAGGGAGAGUUGGGAUCAGCGGUGGUGGGUGGGAGAUGACGAGGUGGUGUGUGGGUGGAGGGGAGACCUAGUCCACGUCCGGCCGGCCACGCGCGUCCGCCGCCGCGAGGUGAGCUCCCGUUUCCCUCCGUUGCCGCUGCCACCGGCGGCACCUGUGGGCGCCGAUACUGCUUGGAGCGGCGGUACUCCGGCGGUACCUCCGGGCAGGGCUCGAGCCGAGCGGCGAGGAGGCCACUGGGAGCAACGCGGACCUAGGCCCAGCCCGCCUAGGCUGUCUCCUCGGGAGGGUACCGUGGCCGCCGAGACCUCUACUCCCGACGUGUCUCCUUCUCCUCGUCGUCGUCGAGCUCCAGCAAUGCGCAGCGGGUGUGGGGAGGAGGCGAGCGAGAGCAGAGACAGUCCGACGACUACAAGUGACGUGACCUCCCUCUCCUGUUCUCAUUCUCUCGUUCUUGUUAUCUACUAAGCCAAUAAACACUUUGACUGCCGAGAACACUCCUCGUUCCUAUCUCUUCCGAUACUUGGUUACUCUAUAUUGACUGUAGGAGCGUCGCGCACCCUCGGCCACAGAAGCCGGUCUCGACCCAGAGGAACGGCCGCUGGAACGGUAGUGGUCGGAUAGACGUCAAAACGUCCCUACCUGUAUACCUAACUUACCAUGGGAGGACUUUAGAUGUGUCUACAGUCUAGACUCUUUCUUCUUUAUCCCGUUUCUUUUAGUCUAGCCUCUUUCUUCUCUACUUCUUGUUAAAAUUAACUUCUCAACUUCUUCUGAUUCGUGCUCAGGGGGACUUCACGAACUGGUGGCCGGCCAACGUCACCUCCAGUCGUAGUGGAUCGACACCGGUAGGACCCGCGGCUCUCUUAAUCGACUUUUUAGAACGACUCUAGGUCCAGUGCCCAGUAGGGGUAAGUCCACCGAUACUUUGAACAAGGAUUGUUUCUGUUUAAACACCUCCACCGAUCCCCUUGUCCUCCUCGUUCAAAUCGGACCGUCCACGAAGAGUCCAAGCUACCAAAGGUUGUUCCCUCGCUAUAGGUACGAGACGUAGUUCCAACAUCACGAAAGAAGUACCCAAGCCGGAAACGGUAAUUCUACGUACUACGAGACUGUUUGUCUUUGUAGUCCUGAUGUCUGUCUAUCUUCUUCGAAAAUAGUUACAGAGGGGAAAGACUGUUAACUCACUUAAAGAUACGUUCUAUUUAAUUUGAUACAAGAACUAGUACUUAGAAAUGCACAGACACGAGUUGACUUAGCACAAACGAACCACACUAGAGAGGGUCUUGUUUUUAGAACUACUCGUUCUUCAUCAUAUUGACCGCCCUUUACGAUCUCGAAAAAACAAUACAUGGUAGUUCUAUCAUACCGAAUAGUAAAAUUUAUCGUUACGGACUACUCACGACUAGUAUAAUUAGAAAUUAUGAGACAGAACGACCGGCACAUGAUUUUUACCGUGAAGGUACAGAUUACUUCUAUACACACGAACACUAUACGAGUUAGACCCUACCAGGUCAGACUACAAAUGAAUACGAAAUAUUUAUCCUCCCUCACCCCCCUUUCUCGAUAUCUUCUUAUGUGGGACGAUAGUGAGGAUUAAAACGCUGAACAAGGUAUACAAAAUAAAAGUUAAAUAUAUAAAAUUACGUGUGAGAAAGUUAUGUACCGAAUGUGAGUCGGAAACGCGGUAACCGCGUUGCCCAGUAGAUCAACAUAAUUUAGUACCGGGUCGACGGGGAGAUACUCUACCAGUUAGAAUCUUAAUACAAAGGAUGUUGAAUUUACCCUAUUGAAUGGACGACAUAGUUAGUAUAGUAGGUAGUAUUGUUUGUGAAAGGGAGAAUUGUAGAGGUUAGUCUAAGUAA